rnacentral:lncRNA from 1 species
CUCCAAGACAGAAGAACAGCAAAAUAUCCCUGGCCGAUCCUCGGAGGAUGCGAGAACCAAGAGGAGCAGGCCCUGACCGGGAUCCGACCCCACGGGUCCCUUCCGAGAACCCUCACCAAGUGUACCAUAACCCCGAGGAUCCAAUCUUGCGCACCCUGGACUUCAGAGAGCCUCCACGGGUGAUUCCUGACCCGGCAGGUGCAGGUCCGGGUGCGGGUCCGAGUUCGCCAAGGGAAUAACAUGUGACGCAAAGAGCCCCUUUCUCUUGCAAUGUCCACUGUCCUGGGGUCGCAUCUUUGCGUUCAGGUUUGCAAUUUUGAUUUUCCAAAAGGGUUAAGUCUCUUACUUAAUCACAUCUGGCUCCUGGGUGAAAGAUUGCAGCUGUCACACGUGCACCGUGUGUGGGAGCAGAGGUGGGGGAGGUCAGGGUAUAAUGGACCGCUCUGAGGGUUUCAGACAAGGUGAUCCGCUAAGAACGCCUCUUAAACCCUUUCCAGGCUACAUGCCCUGUGGGCUUCAGGGACUCCUGUCCGAUAACCCCUCAAGUAACAAUCCACUAACCUGCCCGACCUUCUCAGUCUGCACAGCCCUUGCCUAGAUACCUCCUUUUCUGGGGAGUCAAAAGUUCUGAGCCACAUGCCUAUUUUUCGCCCCUAGACUAAA